UACGGGGGGGGCAAGCGUUGUUCGGAAUUACUGGGCGUAAAGGGCUCGUAGGCGGCCAACUAAGUCAGACGUGAAAUCCCUCGGCUUAACCGGGGAACUGCGUCUGAUACUGGAUGGCUUGAGUUUGGGAGAGGGAUGCGGAAUUCCAGGUGUAGCGGUGAAAUGCGUAGAUAUCAGGAAGAACACCCGUGGCUAAGGCGGCUCUCUAGUACGGUACUGACGCUGAGACGCGAAAGCGUGGGGAGCGAACAGG
rnacentral:rRNA from 1 species